rnacentral:rRNA from 1 species
ACGUAAGUGGAUGUAUAAGGUGUGACGCCUGCCCGGUGCUCGAAGGUUAAUUGAUGAUGUCAGCGCAAGCGAAGCAUUUGAUCGAAGCCCGAGUAAAACGGCGGCCGUAACUAUAACGGUCCUAAGGUAGCGAAAUUCCUUGUCAGUUAAAUACUGACCUGCAUGAAUGGCGUAACGAGAUGGGAGCUGUCUCAAAGAGGGAUCCAGUGAAAUUGUAGUGGAGGUGAAAAUUCCUCCUACCCGCGGAAAGACGGAAAGACCCCGUGCACCUUUACUACAGCUUGACACUGUAGCUUGGAUAUUCAUGUGCAGGAUAGGUGGGAGGCUAUGAUGACUAGACGCAAGUAGAGUCGGAGCCAUCCUUGAGAUACCACCCUUGAAUAUUUGAGUUACUAACUGCGUACAAUUAUCUUGUGCCAGGACAAUGUCUGGUGGGUAGUUUGACUGGG